CAAAUUGAAUUUUGUAAAUAGUAGCUAGUAGGUAAUAAUAAUAUUUUCGGAAUUGGCGCUCUUUAGUAAAUGUAACAAAAAUAAAAGCUUAAAUCCUAAAAGUUAUUAAGUAGCUUCAUUGUAGGCAUGGUAUGCGAGUGGUACAUGGAUGAGGUGUCUGUGGUUGAAUACUACUUGCUUCUUAUUCUUCUCAUCCUUCCAGUGAAGCUCUUCUUCGACUUAUGGGCAUGGCUUGGAUGGGAACUCUUCAAAAACAACUAGUCAAUAAUGCCAAAUUUUAUAAUAGUUCUUACCUGUACCAAAAUAAAACGCUUAAAUACUGUUA